CCGCUGCUUCUGGCGGAUCCUCCAAAUCUGGCAAGGGCGAGGAGGAGAGCUAAGAGCCGGGA
rnacentral:pre_miRNA from 1 species